ensembl:snRNA U6 U6 spliceosomal RNA
GUGCUUGCUUCAGCUACACAUACCCUAAAAUAGGAAUGCUAUGAAGAAGAAAAUUAGCAUGGUCCCUGUGCAAGUAUGACUUGCAAAUUCAUGAAGAAUACAUAUUUUUG